CUCUUGGCAAAUAGAUCCCACUCUCUGAGGGUUGAUUUGGGGCUCAGAAAAUACUACCCCGAAGUAUGACACUUCGGCAUACUGAAUACUUCUAAAAGAGAUUGGAAGGCCUCAGAAGCAGCCUCGGAAGCAGUCUCUCCCUCUGAUCUUCUCUUGCCCUUCUGUCUCCUGCCCAUCUUUCGUCCCCGAAGUGAGUCACAGAAACCAGAAUUCUUCUUCCCCAAGCACAGCUUAACUUGGACUCAUCACCUAUCAAGUGCUCGACAGCCACGUGUGCAGUGGUUACUACAUUGAGCAGCAUAGCUCCAGAGAUGCAAAUAUUAAUGAGGACAGUGCUAGUUAUAGAGUUGCUGAGCAAUCUAGGUACCCUUGUACGAACCACUGCCCCAGGGGAAGAAACAGAACUCCACAAGGUAGCAGUGUGGGUGUAGUAUCUGCACGUGCCCAUGUUAUGGGAAUGUAGAUGGGGAGUGACCGCCACCAACAGAAGUGUGGCCAUCUUGCCCGAGAUGCAUGAGGAACUCCUGUUUUUAGAUGCUGCUGCCCGAGGCCCGUAUUUCAUGCUAUGGCUUUUGUCAUUUGAAUUAUCAGUAGCUGUCUCGGAGCUAAUAGACUUCACUGGGCCCUGGAGGAUAUUGUCUUACACAGUCCACUGGGUUUUGGAUAUGCAGUCUGUGUCU
rnacentral:antisense_RNA from 1 species